GGCGGACGGGUGAGUAACGCGUGAGCAACCUGCCCUUCGGAACGGGAUAGUGUCUGGAAACGGACAGUAAUACCGUAUAACAUAUAUUGAUCGCAUGGUCGAUAUAUCAAAACUGAGGUGCCGAAGGAUGGGCUCGCGUCUGAUUAGAUAGUUGGUGGGGUAACGGCCUACCAAGUCGACGAUCAGUAGCCGGACUGAGAGGUUGAACGGCCACAUUGGGACUGAGACACGGCCCAGACUCCUACGGGAGGCAGCAGUGGGGAAUAUUGCACAAUGGGGGAAACCCUGAUGCAGCAACGCCGCGUGAAGGAAGACGGUUUUCGGAUUGUAAACUUCUGUUCUUAGUGAAGAAUAAUGACGGUAGCUAAGGAGCAAGCCACGGCUAACUACGUGCCAGCAGCCGCGGUAAUACGUAGGUGGCAAGCGUUGUCCGGAAUUACUGGGUGUAAAGGGAGCGUAGGCGGGAUGCCAAGUCAGCUGUGAAAACUAUGGGCUUAACUUG
rnacentral:rRNA from 1 species